CCAGCUCGCCGCUGACGCUCAGGCACGACAGCGUGGGGAUCGAACAGGAUUAGAUACCCUGGUAGUCCACGCCGUAAACGAUGAGCGCUCGCUGCUCGGGGGUUUACCUCCUGAGCGGCCAAGAUAAAUCGUUAAGCGCUCCACCUGGGGAGUACGUGCGCAAGCAUGAAACUCAAAGGAAUUGACGGGGGCCCGCACAAGCGGAGGAACAUGUGGUUUAAUUCGAUGAUACGCGAGGAACCUUACCCGGGCUUGAAAUGGAGACGAAUAACUUGGAAACAGGUUAGCCAGCAAUGGCGUCUUUGUAGGUGCUGCAUGGUUGUCGUCAGCUCGUGCCGUGAGGUGUCGGCUUAAGUGCCACAACGAGCGCAACCCCUGCCGCCGGUUGCCAGCGCGUAAUGGCGGGGACUUCGGCGGGACUGCCACCGUAAGGUGCGAGGAAGGUGGGGAUGACGUCAAAUCAGCACGGCCCUUACGUCCGGGGCGACACACGUGUUACAAUGGGGGGUACAGAGGGCUGCUACCUAGCGAUAGGAUGCCAAUCUCGAAAGCCCCUCUCAGUUCGGAUCGGAGCCUGCAACUCGGCUCCGUGAAGUUGGAUUCGCUAGUAAUCGCGCAUCAGCCAUGGCGCGGUGAAUACGUUCCCGGGCCUUGUACACACCGCCCGUCAAGCCAUGGGAGCUGGGGGUGCCUGAAGUUCGUGACCGCAAGGAGCGUCCUAGGGUAAAACUGGUAACUGGGGCUAAGUCGUAACAAGGUAGCCGUACCGGAAGGUGCGGCUG
rnacentral:rRNA from 1 species